rnacentral:misc_RNA from 1 species
AUUUCUUCUUUUCUAGUUCCUCCUUUUCCUUCUUCUUCUUCUUCCUUAUUUUUCACAAAAUUCAGGUCAGCACCAUUUCUUAGAUUCUCUUUUGCAGUUGCACCCCUGUGUUAUCGUAGCGGAGGAGGAGUAGGAGGAAGAGGAGCGGGGAAGCUCAUGGCUCACUCUUUAGCUCGUGCCACUCUUGGCCUUACACAGCCCGCCAACGUCGAUGUCCCCAAGAUUUCUUUUGCUGCGAAAGAUGUUGGUGCGGUGGAAUGGAAAGGAGAUAUACUUGCAGUGGGUGUUACUGAGAAAGAUAUGGCCAAGGAUGAGAGCACAAAGUUUGAGAACUCACUUCUCAAGAAGCUAGAUGCCCAUUUGGGUGGUCUCUUAAGUGAAGCCUCUUCUGAGGAGGAUUUCACUGGAAAAGCUGGUCAAUCAAUUGUUCUUAGACUUCCAGGUCUUGGUUC